UGGGGAAUUUUGGACAAUGGGCGAAAGCCUGAUCCAGCAAUGCCGCGUGUGUGAAGAAGGCCUUCGGGUUGUAAAGCACUUUUGUCCGGAAAGAAAUCCUUGGCUCUAAUACAGUCGGGGGAUGACGGUACCGGAAGAAUAAGCACCGGCUAACUACGUGCCAGCAGCCGCGGUAAUACGUAGGGUGCAAGCGUUAAUCGGAAUUACUGGGCGUAAAGCGUGCGCAGGCGGUUUGCUAAGACCGAUGUGAAAUCCCCGGGCUCAACCUGGGAACUGCAUUGGUGACUGGCAGGCUAGAGUAUGGCAGAGGGGGGUAGAAUUCCACGUGUAGCAGUGAAAUGCGUAGAGAUGUGGAGGAAUACCGAUGGCGAAGGCAGCCCCCUGGGCCAAAUACUGACGCUCAUGCACGAAAGCGUGGGGGAGCAAACAGGAUUAGAUACCCUAGUAGUCCACGCCCUAAACGAUGUCAACUAGUUGUUGGGGAUUCAUUUCCUUAGUAACGUAGCUAACGCGUGAAGUUGACCGCCUGGGGAGUACGGUCGCAAGAUUAAAACUCAAAUGAAUUGACGGGGUCAUAGCUGUUUCCU
rnacentral:rRNA from 1 species